UAUGAAGGCCAGGCUGAAGACUUUGCCGGAUUAGCUGAGAGGUGGUGCAUGGCCGUCGUCAGUUCGUACUGUGAAGCAUCCUGUUAAGUCAGGCAACGAGCGAGACCCACGCCCACAGUUGCCAGCGUACUCUCUGGAGUGACGGGUACACUGUGGGGACCGCCGCUGCUAAAGCGGAGGAAGGAAUGGGCAACGGUAGGUCAGUAUGCCCCGAAUAUCCCGGGCUACACGCGAGCUACAAUGGUUGGUACAAUGGGUAUCUACCCCGAAAGGGGACGGGAAUCUCCUAAAACCAAUCUUAGUUCGGAUUGAGGGCUGCAACUCGCCCUCAUGAAGCUGGAAUCCGUAGUAAUCGCGUUUCAACAGAACGCGGUGAAUACGUCCCUGCUCCUU
rnacentral:rRNA from 1 species